CCUGGUAGCUCAGGUGGUAAAGAAUCUGCCUGCAAUGCAGGAGACCCAGGUUCAAUCCCUGGGUCAGGA
rnacentral:tRNA from 1 species